GGAGAAAUACCCAAGUGGUUGAAGGGGUCGGUCUUGAAAACCGAGAGGUCGUGCAAGCGACGCGGGGGUUCGAAUCCCUCUUUCUCCGCCA
rnacentral:tRNA from 1 species